CUCCGGAAAGAGAGGG
rnacentral:tRNA from 4 species